UGUGGGAAGUAGCCAUGGUCUGAGGCUGGCGCCUCACCUGUCAGCCAGUCUGGCUGCUACGCUCUCCCCUGGCUGUCGCAUCCUGGGCGAUCUCGGCUGUCGCAACCCGGGCGGCUGCGGCCACCAUGAUACAUUUCAUCUUGCUCUUCAGUCGACAAGGGAAACUUCGGCUGCAGAAAUGGUACACCACGCUCCCUGACAAGGAGAGGAAGAAGAUUACCCGGGAGAUCAUCCAGGCUGUUCUCUCUCGUGGACACAGGACGAGCAGCUUCAUUGACUGGAAGGAGCUGAAACUUGUUUAUAAAAGGUAUGCUAGUUUAUAUUUUUGCUGUGCAAUAGAAAAUCAGGACAAUGAGCUCUUGACACUAGAGAUUGUACAUCGUUAUGUGGAGUUGCUGGACAAGUACUUUGGAAAUGUCUGUGAGCUGGAUAUUAUCUUUAAUUUUGAAAAGGCGUAUUUUAUCCUUGAUGAAUUUAUAAUAGGUGGAGAAAUUCAGGAAACAUCCAAGAAAACGGCAGUCAAGGCCAUUGAAGACUCUGAUAUGUUGCAGGAGCAGGUCAAGAGUCAAGAGGACAAUUUCAAGAAUUGUAAAGUACCCUUUUAAAAUUGGUACUAAAGCCAUUCUUCCUGCUAUUUGGAAAUAAGAGACUGAUUAAGUUAAUAAGACAUUAGGCAUGAUUUCCCAGCAACUGUCUUGGCAAUACUUUGAGCUGAUUACUUACUCCUGCCCAUGGAGGGACUCCAUCCUCAGACAAUGGAAGAAUACAUGAACAAGCCCACGUUUUAACUGUGCCGUCUACUUGAAGAUUCUGAGUGCUUCGUGUUGGGAAUCGACCAGUGAGCAACUCUUUGCAUCCAGUCUCCACACAGCUUCUGGCUCCAUGCCAAAAAUAACUUAAAGGGAUUGUUGUUAGCAUAAUGUAUUUAUAGUUGCUACAUGUCUAUAUUAUACUGUGCAUCAGUACUCAUUGUGGCUCUAGUUGUUUCAAAUAAUUGCUGCAGAUUGAAUAGUUGUUUGCCGUGUUUGUGGCAUUUUUUAACGUAACUUCAAAUAUUAGUUGCAGUAUAAUAAUUUUUGUUGCCAUUUGAUCAGUCUACCAGUAGACUGACAAGUACUUUGUGAUAACACACAAUUUUGAAUGUAAAGUAUAUUUAUAUAACAAAUGCCUUUCCUAAAUGUUUUUAAAAGGUACAUGAAUUCAAAUUUAUGUUACUAGUUCAGAUUUCAUACAUGAUGCAGACUUUUUUUAAUAUGUUCAAUACUACUAUAAUUUCAGCUCAGACACAAUUUAUAUGACUUUAAUGUUUUGAAUUCGACUUAUUUUCUUCAGAAUUGGAAUAGAACUUUAUAAAUGAUUUUGAUGUCUUAGAAGGUGCUAGAUUGAGGUUUUUUUUUUACUUUAUUUUCAAUUGAAUAUAAGGGAAAUUUUAAUAAGGUUAUGUUUUCUACAAGCUACCUAUUUAUUAUGGUUUCAGGAGAUCUGGAGAUAGAAUAUUACAGCAUCUCCUUUUAUUACCAAAGUACUAACAAAGGAAUAGCUAGAUCAAUAAUUGUAAUCUCCACUAAUAUUUUACAUCUCAUGUUCCAAUUAAUCCUUGUGAUCGGGAGGCUUCUUCAAAUAAUUUUACUGUAAGCUGAAUGUAUUAGGUUUCCUUAGGGCAUGUAUUUUCAUUGUGUCCUUUAUGGGAGAGGACUCUAUUCCUUUUUCCUCUCCCCCUCCCCAGGAAAAUAUUUUCUGCUGACCACUAUUUUUGUGACCGUGUCACCUUCAUGCUUCCAAAACAAAUGUUCUGCAUAGUCUGAGUGUGCUCAGACAUGAUGUAGGGAGUUGCUGUGUGGCGUUUUUUCACGGCGCCCGUGUCUGGAGUUUCGGGUAUGCAUUUUCAUUGUGAGUGUCAAGGUCUGAUGUCAUCCAUAUCAGAGUGCUUAGGACGCUUACGUUUUUCCUAAGACGAUAGUGAGCUUGAGUUUGGGUUCUGUGGGAGAUCUCGAAAGGGAACGUGAUGGUUUGUUGCCUUUGGUUCAUCUCACCAGUCAUAUUUAAGGCAUGAUGGCAAAACCAGAAUGGAAGAACAGUCAAAUGGACCCAUUCCUCAAUAUAACCAUCUAUAUAAAGGCAAUAAUUCAGGUUUUUUUUUUUUUUUUGGUUUUUUGAGACAGGGUUUCUCUGCAGCUUUAGAGCCUGUCCUGGAGCUAGCUCUUGUAGAACAGGCUGGUCUCAAACUCACAGAGAUCCACCUGCCUCUGCCUCCCUAGUGCUGGGAUUAAAGGCGUGCGCCACCACCGCCCGGCUCAAUAAUUCAGUUUUCAUAUGAGGUAAUAAGUGGACUUUUAAUAGCUGAUGUAGCUUCAGAUUAAUAAUAUGAUUAUGGUUGCUAGUUGAUGUUUGUCCCUUUUGAACAGCUUUGUUUAGACAGACUUCAGUUUUGUGCACUAACUUAAAAAAAUGAUAAGAAUCUUUGUUUUUCAAACAUUUUGUAAAACUGAACUUUCUGUAAUUUCAGAGGUUUUCUGGUUCCUUCUCAGUGUUUUUGAAUGAAGGUAUCAUAAAAUGUACUGCUUAUAUUCUGGAUAGUAACACUUUUGAAACUGUCCAGCUUGUACAAGGAUUCUUCCUGUCGAUGUACACAUAGAAAGUGAUUAUAUUUAUAUGACAUACUGGGGUAAAUUCAAAGGAUUUGAGGAACGGCUUACAUGAACUUUAGUGAAAAAUCAUUAUUCAAUUUCCUUUAUUAUUACAAAAGUCUAAGAAAAGUACCAAGUGAAAAGAAAAAUAAUAUUGAAUUUGUAUAAAACUUCCAAAUAAAAUGUUAAAAAUGUUGAUAAUGAA